GAGCAGCGGUGCCUGCAUUCAUCCAUUGAUCCCGUCAUCCGGUACCUUUCUACGCAUCAUCAUGGUUAACCCCCGCCGAACUUCUUCCGUUGGACGCGAAAUUUCCCUCCGUGCCGCGGGUAUACGCCGCAGGCGUGCCUCCCGGUCGGUACUUAGGCUCCCUACAGCUCGUCAGUUGUUUGCCGACGAGAACGACUUAACAAGCAGAGUAACAAGGUACUCUCCAGUGCGUAGUUUCGCGCCCUCCCGCGCAUACCCUUAUCGUCCUCCCCGAAACCCUCCAGCGGUUCUUCAAGAGGAACAACAGCCCAGAGCCAGGCCGCCAUCGCCCAAUUACUCCCCCAUCCAGGAUUCAUCUAAUCCCAGCUACUCGCCGGUCA